rnacentral:rRNA from 1 species
AACGGAGGGUGCAAGCGUUGUUCGGAAUUACUGGGCGUAGAGGGCGCGUAGGCGGCCACGACAAGUCAGUUGUGAAAUCUCUGGGCUUAACUCAGAGCGGUCAACUGAUACUGUCGGGCUAGAGUGCAGAAGGGGCAACUGGAAUUCUCGGUGUAGCGGUGAAAUGCGUAGAUAUCGAGAGGAACACCUGCGGCGAAGGCGGGUUGCUGGGCUGACACUGACGCUGAGGCGCGAAAGCUAGGGGAGCGAACGGG